rnacentral:rRNA from 1 species
GACGAACGCUGGCGGCGUGCUUAACACAUGCAAGUCGAGCGAGGCCCCUCCUUCGGGAGGGUGUCCUAGCGGCGAACGGGUGAGUAACACGUGGGCAACCUGCCCUCAGCUCUGGGAUAACUCCGGGAAACCGGGGCUAAUACCGGAUACGACCUCCACGGGCAUCUGCGGAGGUGGAAAGUUUUUCGGCUGAGGAUGGGCCCGCGGCCUAUCAGCUAGUUGGUGGGGUAGUGGCCCACCAAGGCGACGACGGGUAGCCGGCCUGAGAGGGCGACCGGCCACACUGGGACUGAGACACGGCCCAGACUCCUACGGGAGGCAGCAGUGGGGAAUAUUGCGCAAUGGGCGGAAGCCUGACGCAGCGACGCCGCGUGAGGGACGAAGGCCUUCGGGUUGUAAACCUCUUUCGGCAGGGACGAAGCGAGAGUGACGGUACCUGCAGAAGAAGCACCGGCCAACUACGUG